GGAAAUUGUAACAAAAAAAAUCCUUACUCUAAUAGAAUAUUAACUAAAUUCUAAUUAGAUUAUAAUAAUAUUAAGCAAGCUUUAAUCAAAUUCAAAGAAACUUCAAAGGAAUUACAAAGAAAUAAUAGAAAUCUUAAAGAAAUAUUAGAAUGAUCACAAAUAUAUCUCAAUUUCAUCUCAAUUCAAUCUUAAUUUAAUCCUAAUUAAAAUCCUAUUAGACUUCAUUCAAACUUUAAGCCAAAAACUAACUAAAUCUUAAAUCUUAAAUAAAUCCUAAUAAAAUCCUAAAUCCUAAAUCAAAUCCUAAUCCUAAAUCAAAUCCUAACCAAAUCUUAAAUCCUAAAUCAUACCCUAAUCUUAAAUCAAAUCCUAACCAAAUGCUAACCCUAAAUCAAAUCCCAACCAAAUCCUAAAUCAAACCUUAAAUCCUAAAUCAAAUCCUAAUCAAAUCCUAAUUCUAAAUCAAAUCCUAAUCAAAUCAUAAAUCCUAAAUCAAAUCCUAAUCUUAAAUCAAAUCCUAAUCAAACCUUAAAC
rnacentral:lncRNA from 1 species